AGCAGACCGCCUGGGGAGUACGAGCGCAAGCUUAAAACUCAAAGGAAUUGACGGGGAGGCGCACAAGCAGUGGAGCGUGUGGUUUAAUUCGAUUCAAAGCGAAGAACCUCACCAGGACUUGACAUGUAUCUGCAAAUCCUAGGAAACUAGGACUCUUUCGAAGGUGAUACACAGAUGCUGCAUGGCUGUCGUCAGCUCGUGGCGUGAGCUGUUCCCUUAAGUGGGUCAACGAGCGCAACCCGCAUUGUAUGUUAAAUAUUUCAUGCAAAACUGCCCACCAUUUGGUGGGAGGAAGGCGCGGAUGACGUCAAGUCAGCACGGCUCUUACGUCCUGGGCAACACACACCCUACAAUGGACAACAACAACGAGUUGCUAGCCGGUAACGGUAUUCUAAUCUCUGAAAUUUGU
rnacentral:rRNA from 1 species